CAAAUCAGGUAGGACUACCCGCUGAACUUAAGCAUAUCAAUAAGCGGAGGAAAAGAAACUAACAAGGAUUCCCCUAGUAACUGCGAGUGAAGCGGGAAAAGCUCAAAUUUAAAAUCUGGCGGUCUUUUGGCUGUCCGAGUUGUAAUCUAGAGAAGUGUUAUCCGCGCUGGACC
rnacentral:rRNA from 1 species